rnacentral:lncRNA from 1 species
AAAGAAAUAAAAGGAGGGCAAGUAAAUAAAAAAUAAUUAAAAAUUAACUUUUAUAACUAAUAAAAUUAAAAAUAAUAAUAAUAAUGAACCUAGAUCUGAAGAAUAAACCAAGAUCUGCAACAUGUAGAGUCCUUUGGAGUGGUGAUUUUGAUGAGAAUGAUCAGCAGGCAUGGGAUGAGUAGCUAGCUAGCAAGCAGGAACUCUUCCAUCUCUUUACACACAGCAACGGCAACGGCAACGGCAACGGCAACGGCAAAAGGAUCAGCCAGUGCAGAAAGUUCAACCACAGGCAGGUAUCCAAUGAUAAAAAAUAGCUAUUAGCUUAGAAGAUCGAUGCAUGUCAGAGAAUAUAAAAGCAAGGGAAGGGAAGGGAACAUCAAUAAUUCACUAACCAUGUCUUUUUAGGUGUU